rnacentral:rRNA from 1 species
CCCUUAGAUGUUCUGGGCUGCACGCGCGCAACACUGAUGCACUCAACGAGUUUACGACCUUGCCCGAUAGGGUUGGGUAAUCUUUUUAAAAUGCAUCGUGAUGGGGAUAGAUUAUUGCAAUUAUUAAUCUUCAACGAGGAAUUCCUAGUAAGCGCGAGUCAUCAGCUCGUGCUGAUUACGUCCCUGCCCUUUGUACACACCGCCCGUCGCUCCUACCGAUUGAGUGCUCAGGUGAAUAAUUCGGACUGCAGCAAUGUUUGGAUCCCGAACGUUGCAGCGGAAAGUUUAGUGAACCUUAUCACUUAGAGGAAGGAGAAGUCGUAACA